rnacentral:tRNA from 1 species
GCGCCCAUAGCUCAAUGGUAGAGCGACCGUCUUAUACACGGUCUACCCAGGUCCGAUUCCUGGUGGGCGUA